rnacentral:rRNA from 1 species
CUGGCUGUAAACGGUGUACACUUGGUGUGGGAGGCUUUAUCCCCUUCCGUGCCGUAGCUAACGUGAUAAGUGUACCGCCUGGGGAGUACGGUCGCAAGAUUAAAACUCAAAGGAAUUGACGGGGGCCCGCACAAGCGGUGGAGCAUGUGGCUUAAUUCGAUGCAACGCGAAAAACCUUACCUGGGUUCGAAGUGUAACACUGUAUCCUGAUGAAAGUCGGGAGUCAUUUAGUUGGGUGUUACAAAGGUGC